rnacentral:rRNA from 1 species
GCAGCGGAGCGUGUGGUUUAAUUCGAUGCUACACGAAGAACCUUACCAGGGUUUGACAUACAAGUAGUAGGGAAAGGAAACUGGACCGACCCUUCGGGGAGCUUGUACAGGUGCUGCAUGGCUGUCGUCAGCUCGUGUCGUGAGAUGUUCGGUUAAGUCCGCUAACGAGCGCAACCCUCGCUGUGUGUUACAAGUGUCACACGGAACUGCCGGUCAUAAACCGGAGGAAGGUGGGAUGACGUCAAAUCAUCAUGCCCCUUAUGACCUGGGCUACACACGUGCUACAAUGGCCGGUACAGACGGACGCAAAGCCGCGAGGCGGAGCAAAUCCGAAAAAGCCGGUCUCAGUUCGGAUUGCAGGCUGCAAUUCGCCUGCAUGAAGUCGGAAUCGCUAGUAAUCGCAGGUCAGCAUACUGCGGUGAAUACGUUCCCGGGCCUU